rnacentral:tRNA from 2 species
GAGAGAGGCUCGACAGCAAUGAUUACUGCUAAUAUUCACCCCCCUUUGGUUAAACUCCAAAGCUCACUCG